UGGGGAAUAUUGGGCAAUGGGCGAAAGCCUGACCCAGCAACGCCGCGUGAAGGAAGAAGGUUUUCGGAUUGUAAACUUCUUUUAUCAGGGACGAAGAAAGUGACGGUACCUGAUGAAUAAGCCACGGCUAACUACGUGCCAGCAGCCGCGGUAAUACGUAGGUGGCGAGCGUUGUCCGGAAUUAUUGGGCGUAAAGGGAGCGCAGGCGGGAAGGUAAGUCUAUCUUAAAAGUGCGGGGCUUAACCCCGUGAUGGGAUGGAAACUGAGAGGCUGGAGUAUCGGAGAGGAAAGUGGAAUUCCUAGUGUAGCGGUGAAAUGCGUAGAGAUUAGGAAGAACACCGGUGGCGAAGGCGACUUUCUGGACGACAACUGACGCUGAGGCGCGAAAGCGUGGGAGCAAACAGGAUUAGAUACCCUGGUAGU
rnacentral:rRNA from 1 species